AAGAAGAAAAUGAAAACUUGGAGAAGAAAGAUGGAGGAGCAGAAGCUGAAAUGGAUGACAAGGGGAAGAAAGAGGUGGAAGCUGCGGAUGAAGAGGCAGAGGGCAUGAAGGGUGCUGAACCAAUCACUACUUGAAUCACCAAAGAAAAGACGCCGAACAUCAUCUGGUGCAAAGAAAGAUAGCAAGGAAGCAGAAACUGCAAGAGUUGACCAGGAAAGUUCAGAAACGAAAGAGAUGGAAUCUGCCAAAGAAGAAAAUGAAAACUUGGAGAAGAAAGAUGGAGGAGCAGAAGCUGAAAUGGAUGACAAGGGGAAGAAAGAGGUGGAAGCUGCGGAUGAAGAGGCAGAGGGCAUGAAGGGUGCUGAACUACACCUGGAGGAGAAGCCACAAAUGGAUGACAAGGGGAAGAAAGAGGUGGAAGCUGCGAAUGAAGAGGCAGAGGGCAUGAAGGGUGGUGAACUACACCCGGAGGAGAAGCCAGAAUCUGAACCCGAGAAAGUUGACAGUGCUGAUGAUGGCAAACAAGACAAGUCAGAAAAUGCAAAGAUUGAGGACAAACAAGUAUCUGGAGAAAAGCUGGAGUCUCAAAGUGACAAAGAAAGUC
rnacentral:lncRNA from 1 species